rnacentral:rRNA from 1 species
CUCCUACGGGAGGCUGCAGUGGGGAAUUUUGGACAAUGGGCGCAAGCCUGAUCCAGCCAUGCCGCGUGCAGGAUGAAGGCCUUCGGGUUGUAAACUGCUUUUGUACGGAACGAAAAGUCUCUUUCUAAUAAAGAGGGAUCAUGACGGUACCGUAAGAAUAAGCACCGGCUAACUACGUGCCAGCAGCCGCGGUAAUACGUAGGGUGCAAGCGUUAAUCGGAAUUACUGGGCGUAAAGCGUGCGCAGGCGGUGAUGUAAGACAGUUGUGAAAUCCCCGGGCUCAACCUGGGAACUGCAUCUGUGACUGCAUCGCUGGAGUGCGGCAGAGGGGGAUGGAAUUCCGCGUGUAGCAGUGAAAUGCGUAGAUAUGCGGAGGAACACCGAUGGCGAAGGCAAUCCCCUGGGCCUGCACUGACGCUCAUGCACGAAAGCGUGGGGAGCAAACAGGAUUAGAUACCCUGGUAGUCCACGCCCUAAACGAUGUCAACUGGUUGUUGGGAAUUCACUUUCUCAGUAACGAAGCUAACGCGUGAAGUGACCGC